rnacentral:lncRNA from 1 species
UUGAGCCUCUUCUUCUUCUUUCUUCAUGUAAUAGACAACCCUAAAACCCUAGGGAGUGGUCCACCACUCCACUGCCAUUCUCUCUGUCACCGCACCCAAAGUACCAUAAAAGCCAGCUGCCACUCCACCCUCCUUCACGCCAAGAACUCGACACCCACAGUCACUCACACGUACGGAAACGGAGGAGGCAACGGAAAAGGGGAACGAAGGAAACUGGACAGAGGGAGUGGCAAUAUAGGACAGGGAUUCGGGGUUUUUGGUUUUGCUUAUGAUUUUCGCGUUCCUGAUUUCAUCUUAGUUCAUCGAUAUUAAGAAAAAAAAAUUCAGUGGAUUUUGGCUUCGUUUCUGAUUUCAAACUCGAAAACAUAAUGAAAAUUCUAGAUGUUUUUUUUGUCUUGGCUUCUGAAACAGAGUCGAAUUGAAAUAGGUGUUCGAUCGUAGAAGUUGCCGUCCUAGAGGUGAGGCAGUCCGGUGAGGGAUUCAAUGAGUUUCAGUCGAGGUUCGAUUAAAGCUCGUAACUCUUUGUUUCCGGUUUGAGAUCUGUCUGGCAUAUGUUGGUUCAAGCUUCAGUUGUUUUGAAUUCGGGGUUGUAGCAAUUGCUUGAUUCCUAUUCGUGUAAUUAUUGUAAAAUUUCGAUCAAUUAAAGCU